AAGCGCACGCAGGCGGUCUGUCAAGUCGGAUGUGAAAUCCCCGGGCUCAACCUGGGAACUGCAUUCGAAACUGGCAGGCUGGAGUCUUGUAGAGGGGGGUAGAAUUCCAGGUGUAGCGGUGAAAUGCGUAGAGAUCUGGAGGAAUACCGGUGGCGAAGGCGGCCCCCUGGACAAAGACUGACGCUCAGGUGCGAAAGCGUGGGGAGCAAACAGGAUUAGAUACCCUGGUAGUCCA
rnacentral:rRNA from 1 species